UACAUGAGAGCUCCACCUUGACAUAUCCUUUACUAUUUAAAUUUUUUUUAUUAUAUAGAUUUCAAAAAUGUAUUUUAGGAGAUAGAGAUGGAAUGUGUUUAAAGCCACAAAUGACUGACUUCCUGAUCUCCAUGAUUCAUGUGUUUCUUGAGUGCCAAGAGUGACUGUAUUAUCCAUAAAAUAUGUAGUAAUCAAAUAAUUAUACGUAAAUAAGAUUGAAGUUUUAUGAAAUUCUUCCCUUCUCUAUUUUAUUUGUACCAAAGCUAGUAUAUUCUUUUAAAUUUCAGGUGUCUUAACUGCAUGACAAUUUAACUUUCCACUUUGGAACUGGAAAAACUACAAAUCAAACUCUUAACAGUAACAAGUAUAAUGAAGAUCUAAGAAGAGAGUAUGAACAAAGUAACUGUUGGCCAACAAAGCAUAUCUGACCUGAUGGCUUUAGGAUUUAGGAAGCUCUCAAAUGUGGGGGACACAGAAACGUGCGGGCACAGAAAUGAGCGGAAUAUUGGAUAAAGGAAUAGAGCCGGUGCGAAGGAGAAAAAAGUUAUUGGAAAGGGGAUUUUGAAAUCUUCAUCAAUACUUUCCUAGACUCAGCCAUUUCUCCAGGAUCCCAGCUUCCUUUUGUUGGAGAAUGAGAAACCAAGAUCUGGGUGAAUUGCUUACCUGAGUAUUGUUUUUGCCCCUCUCAGCUGACAGAGCAAGGAUAUAAUUCUUCUGAGUAGCUGUCAAAAAAAGUCAGUCUGAAAGAACUGGAGAUCAUGCCAUCAUUCAUGGAGCUGAGCAUACUAGGGAAUGACACAGCCACCAUGAAGUAAUUUCAGAUGAGGAGGCUGUGGUCAGAGAUAUCAAGAGACUUGGAAGAGUCACCUAGCGAAUAGAAGACCCCUCUGAAAUUUGAAUACAGGUAUGUGGAUGUCCUUCUAGUAUACGUAUGUUGUCUUAUAUUGGAGUACAUGUAUAUGGAGAUUUUGCCUUAAUAACUAAAAGUUUGGAUGUGUUUUUAGGUGAUAAGUGGAAAUAUUCUGUGGGAUUUUUCUAAUAAAAGACAAUUUUACUCACCACAUAAGUUAGUUUGUUUCUCCAAGUUGUAGAAAAUGACAUUAAGGAUAAUAUAUUGUUUUUUUAAGUUUUCCUAGUGGAUCUUUAGGCCUUCAACCAGCAUGGAGAAGAGUAAUACAUUGAUCACUACUUAGGGAGCCAUUUAAAGCUAAUACCUAUUUGCAAGAUUGGUCACAGGACUGGUGGUAACGUGGGGAAAACAACACUGAGGGUUAAAAGCAAGAUUUCCCUAUACCCUUCCUUCCCCUUUCCCUUCUCAAACCCCAUUCCCAGGAAACUGGGACAGCUGGUUACCCAUCUCAUUUUCCUCACAGUUGCAUGCUGACUCUGCCACCAAGCUGUGCAUUUGCUAGAACAGUUGAUUUUCUUUAUAAGAGUGAUGAAGAAGAGAAAGCAAAAGUACUAUGCAUGGUUUCUCUUAAGGUUCAUGAUGGGGGUGUGUGUGUGUGUGUGUGUGUGUGUGUGUGUGUGUCUCCCCCUAAGUGAGGGGAAGCUAUUAGGAGAGAGCCAGAUCUCUUUAAUGAGCCUAGAGGUAAUGCAAAAUUCAUGUGUUUUCACCUGCAGCCGGGUAAAGCCUAGUGUACAAACAGAAAGUGGGAAGGCAGGAAGGGUUGGUUAUUUAUGAUUUUUGCUGAAGCCGGUACCCUGGCCGCUACUGGGCAUCCUGACCCACUUGUUCAUUUUUUAGGAAGAAGUGGAUACUUUCAAUGGGAGAAACUCAAGCAUCAGAUUUGCUCCUUGGAGCAUUAAUAAAAGGGCUCAGUUAGCUUCAUCUCAUUAUUUUACUAUGAGUAUUGACUUUGGCCUAGAGUCAUGUAUAGAUAAAAUGGUGCAAGGGCUUGUCCUAAGUGAUUACUCAGAAUUACAAAUCAUUUCACGUGUAACUGAAUACUGCGGUCUAGCUGGCACCCUGCCCCAUGCUUCACCCCCCCCCCCCCCUUUCUCUAAUAGGAGCGCAAAUCCAGCUUUGUCUGAAGAGGCAAUUAAUCUUAUUCACUGAAAGCUGAAUUUUAAUUCACCAGCAUGUGGAGGACAUAUCUGCCUAUCACACGGAAUUAGUUUAACAGAGAAUUUAGAGAAAAAAACAAUACUGGAGGUCUUGGCAUUCUUGAGCAGGCAAAAUACUUGUAGGUACAUUCCUUCAUUAGCCACCUACAUGCUAUGGAUAAGCUUCUCUUUGUAAUAAUAACUCUAUUAGGGUAAACCGGGUUUAUUGUGCAUUUGAAAAUGGCUGAUUGCAUUUUAUUUUAUAUAGAAAAACAACAAAAAAACACCCGUAAGAUAGGUGUGUUCUAGAGGAAAAUGAACAUAGGUGAAAAAGAUAAAUUUUAACUUGCUAGAGAUUCUCAAAGGCUCUUACUUUUAAGGGCAUGGUUUAGAGAUGAUCAGAAAAAUAAAGGGGCACAUAAAAAUCUUAGAAAGCCUAUAUUCAUCCACAUCAAACCCUGUAGAGAAAUAAGUGGUAAGGUCCAAAGUGGCAGGACUACCCAGCCCUACAAUGGAGAAGCUUGUGUGAAAUCUGUUUGACAAAUACUGGGUGUUUUUAAUGCUUCUGUGCUAUAUUUUAGCAGUUUUCCCCUGAGCAAGACCCCAGUGUUUUGUCUGAGGUUAGUUUCACAUGUAGGAAAAAAAAAAAAUCCUUCCUGAAGCAGUUUAAUUCAAGUUUCUUAAUUUGGACCAGAAUAUGACUUAACACAUGCCCACGCUUAGUUACAUAUCAAAUUCCUAUAAGGUCAGAAAACACAUGGGCUCUGGUUUGUACUUCUAUUUAACACAGCACUCCUCAAAGGCUACCUUGUGGUACAGGCAGAUAUCAAAACAUGUAGCUGUCUCCUCCCCAGUGAAAAGAGGGGACUUACUAAAGUACAAAUGAUCUUGCAUGCCAAGUAAUAAUUAGCAUAGCCUACAUUUUUAGGAUUUACUCGAAGAGAAUUCAAAAGGUGCUAUUUGACUUUUCUGUGGGUUUUUUCCCCCCACUUACGAUUGUCUCCUACCUCUGGAAUAAACCCUUAAACACGAUUCUUUCCAUCGCCUCUUCCAGGAAUGCACUAUUGAAUCCUUAAUAGAAGUGAGAUAAGGACUCUGA